AAUAGAUUAAGUAAUGAAAUAUAACAUGCCAUCAAUGUCUACUAGAAAUAAUGACUGAUAGCAAGAUAUCAAGUUCUAAACAUAUAGUAAUACAAUGUGAACAAAUAUGGCAGCCUGCUUCACUUUAAGCAGGCAAAACCUUGUAGAUCCCUCCUAAUUUUAAAAUU